AUUGAACGCUGGCGGAAUGCUUUACACAUGCAAGUCGAACGGUAGAGGGGGCAACCCCUCGAGAGUGGCGAACGGGUGGGUAAUAUAUCGGAACGUGCCCAGUCGUGGGGGAUAACGUAGCGAAAGUUACGCUAAUACCGCAUACGAUCUAAGGAUGAAAGCGGGGGAUCGCAAGACCUCGCGCGAUUGGAGCGGCCGAUAUCAGAUUAGGUAGAUGGUGGGGUAAAGGCUCACCAAGCCAACGAUCUGUAGCUGGUCUGAGAGGACGACCAGCCACACUGGAACUGAGACACGGUCCAGACUCCUACGGGAGGCAGCAGUGGGGAAUUUUGGACAAUGGACGCAAGUCUGAUCCAGCCAUUCCGCGUGCAGGAUGAAGGCCCUCGGGUUGUAAACUGCUUUUGUACGGAACGAAAAGGUCUCUCUUAAUACGGGGGACUCAUGACGGUACCGUAAGAAUAAGCACCGGCUAACUACGUGCCAGCAGCCGCGGUAA
rnacentral:rRNA from 1 species